UUAUAGCACGAUUUACUGAACUGCUAUCGUAGAUGAGUUUAAAAAUUUGAUACUAUAUAAUAGCAUUAGAUAAACACUAUAGUAAAUUUUCACUAAGCAAAAGCAAAAAUUGAGUUUUGGAGCCAUACUUUUUAUUAAGAGGGAACUAAAAUUUCAUUUGGAGCCAACACUUAGAGAAAAAUUAGACAAAUUAUUUUCACAAUUCGGGUGUAAGCAUCAAUGGGUGAGUCACCAUCUCUCCCAUCCGCCUUCGCUCGUCACCGCCUCCACCACCAUUUAUUCUCAGAUCCAUCUUCGCCGGUCUCCGCCGGAGUCACGAGCACUACGUCACGUUCGUCCUCUUUCGAUCUCUCUUUCACCUUCUUCUAGACUUCAAAUCACUUUCUUUGUAUUGUAUAUCGAGACUCAUGGGAUUGCUCAGUUCUUCGUGAGUAGUUAGCCGACGAAGACUCACUCUCCACCAAUUCGUCUCUCGUCAAUCACAGCGAAGAAGAAGAAAGUACCCUAAAUCAAACUUAGGAGCCCCAUGAAUGGCGUUGAUACUGGCUCGCAGGUCACUGAAUACUCUCUGUGCUUGCCAUCUCGCAUGAAUCUCGUUUGCUCUUGUGAUUUUGUUUUGGGAAUCAAGGAAAGUUCUUUUCACUGUCACUUCGAGAUUGUGUUUGCAGGGAUCUCAAAAUCUGCUAAGACGUGCGCAGCUCAAGCUCAAAAUCUUCGAAGAUGAAUAUGUGAUCAAAGCGUUUUACGAAGCAGAGAAAGCUCAUCGAGGACAGGAGAUCAUGUAAUCAAGGCGUUUUAUGAUUCAAGGUGGAGAUAAUUCGGAGAAUGAUGGGCCUGGUGGGGGUGAAUCUGUUUGUGGCUGGGAUUAGAGAAAGCUUUCCUGAUCUUUAAUGAUACAAAGAAUACAGCUACCGCUGCGGCGGAAGUGGACAGGCUUGACCAGCACAGUCAGAUUAAGGAAAUAACUUUCAAGAAACAAACUGAGCUAGAGGAUAUACGCUCCCGCACACGUCGAAAUAAACCUUUAAUCAGCUCGUGAGAGGAUCAUGUUGAUGGUUCCUGUAGUCAAUGAAUCUGAUUUGUCUCGGAAGAAAUCUGAUUCUUGGCUUAUUUUUUUAUCAAAUGUCUGUAUCAAACUGCAGUUGUUGUUAUGUUGCUCUGUUCGAAAAACUACAAUGCAAAAAUGCCAUAAUUUUUUUACAAUAAUGACUAUUGUAUCUAUUAGUUUUUUACAGAUACAUAAAAAGAGUUUAAAGUUUA